AAAUUAUUAGUUUAAUAUAAAAUACUUAAUUUUCUUUUAAGAGAUAUUUUAUUUAUAUAAUUUU
rnacentral:tRNA from 1 species